GGGCCCGUAGCUCAGCUUGGUAGAGCAGCAGGCUCAUAACCUGUCCGUCACGAGUCCGAGUCUCGUCGGGCCCA
rnacentral:tRNA from 1 species